rnacentral:rRNA from 1 species
CGACGGCGUGGGGAGCAGGAAGGGCGGCGAGUAGAAGCCGCUCUCGAGCGCGACGCCGCAGCAGGCGCAGGCGAGGUCCCGCUCGCCGAGCUCGCUCCGCCUCAUCCACGACAGCAGCGCCUUCCCGGACGGCGCCGCCGCGCCGCAGUCCUCGCACAUGUCGGCGGCGUCGGCGAGGCGGCGAGACGCGUCGAAGAGGCUGUCGACGGCGAGGCGGGAGCAGAGCGCGCAGGGCGGCGGCAGGCCGAAGAAGGCGGCGAAGCGGGCGAUGAGGUAGGAGAAGACGCCGUUGGCGAGGAGCAGCGCGAUGAGGAUCCACUCGAGGAGCGCGCGGGCGAGCAGCCGCGCGGCCCGGCCGCUCCUCCCGCACACGCCCGACGCCACGGCCGGCUCCGAGGCCAUCGAAUCUCCCCGCGGCUCUGUCUCCCGGCGACCGGAGGGAAUGCAACCGAUCGAUAG